rnacentral:rRNA from 1 species
UACGUAGGUGGCAAGCGUUAUCCGGAAUUAUUGGGCGUAAAGAGCGCGCAGGUGGUUGAUUAAGUCUGAUGUGAAAGCCCACGGCUUAACCGUGGAGGGUCAUUGGAAACUGGUCGACUUGAGUGCAGAAGAGGGAAGUGGAAUUCCAUGUGUAGCGGUGAAAUGCGUAGAGAUAUGGAGGAACACCAGUGGCGCAGGCGGCUUCCUGGUCUGUAACUGACACUGAGGCGCGAAAGCGUGGGGAGCAAACAGGAUUAGA